GGAGAGCUUAGUCAAGGGGUUAAGACAUCGCCUUUUCACGGCGCAGGCGCAGGUUCGAAUCCUGCACUCUCCG
rnacentral:tRNA from 3 species